AUGUUUCGUGCUGUUAAUGGGUUGUCUCUUAUUCUGCUGUUUUUAUGAGGUUUUGGAGGAGAAAAGGGCAUGGAGAAAUGCCACAUAAUGAUCGAGUGGUGGAUGUUGUAACUUAUUGGACGGCUGCUAAUCAAGGUAUGUAAUGGUUAUCCCUUUGAUCCUUUUACGGGAUGAAUCUGCCUUAAUGAAAAAAUUUUUAAAGAAAAGCUUAAUGAAACGUC
rnacentral:lncRNA from 1 species